rnacentral:misc_RNA from 1 species
UUUCCGUAGGUGAACCUGCGGAAGGAUCAUUAUCGUACAAAAGGGGAGGGGCAUCCGAGGGCUGUCGCUGACCGAAAAGUCGUGAACGCCUGAGUGUGCCCAAUUGCAAAAUAAUCAAUCCCUACGUUUGUGCAUCACCGGGAGGGCAUCCUUCGGGAUCAUUCCGGGGGGGGGCUGGGGUUUUCAAACAGACCCCCCUUUUAACAGUGUGGAAUGGAAACAUUUAGGCAUAAAACAUAACUUUAAAUAAAGAAUCUCUUGGCUCUCGCAUCGAGAAAA